rnacentral:rRNA from 1 species
AUUGAACGCUGGCGGCAUGCCUUACACAUGCAAGUCGGACGAGUGGCGAACGGGUGAGUAAUAUAUUGGAACGUACCGAGGAAUGGGGGAUAACCAAUCGAAAGAUUGGCUAAUACCGCAUAUUAUCCGAGUUGCCAAUAUCUGAUUAGCUAGUUGGUGGGGUAAAGGCCUACCAAGGCGACGCGCAGUAGCGGGUCUGGACGGAUGACCCGCCACACUGGGACUGAGACACGGCCCAGACUCGUCCGGGAGGCAGCAUUGGGGAAUUUUGGGCAAUGGGCGCAAGCCUGAUCCAGCCAUGCCGCGUGUCUGAAGAAGGCCUUCGGGUUGUAAAGUACUUUUGUUAGGGAAGCGGUACCUAAAGAAUAGGCACCGGCUAACUACGUGCCAGCAGCCGCGGUAAUUC